rnacentral:rRNA from 1 species
AUUGAACGCUGGCGGCAUGCCUUACACAUGCAAGUCGAACGGCAGCACGGGGCAACCUGGUGGCGAGUGGCGAACGGGUGAGUAAUAUAUCGGAACGUACCCUAGAGUGGGGGAUAACGUAGCGAAAGUUACGCUAAUACCGCAUACGAUCUACGGAUGAAAGCGGGGGAUUCGCAAGAACCUCGCGCUCAUGGAGCGGCCGAUAUCUGAUUAGCUAGUUGGUAGGGUAAAAGCCUACCAAGGCAUCGAUCAGUAGCUGGUCUGAGAGGACGACCAGCCACACUGGAACUGAGACACGGUCCAGACUCCUACGGGAGGCAGCAGUGGGGAAUUUUGGACAAUGGGGGCAACCCUGAUCCAGCAAUGCCGCGUGAGUGAAGAAGGC